UAUGGCUUACGGGAGGCAGCAGUGAGGAAUAUUGGUCAAUGGUCGGGAGACUGAACCAGCCAAGCCGCGUGAGGGAGGAAGGUACAGAGUAUCGUAAACCUCUUUUGUCAGGGAACAAAGACUGGGACGCGUCCCCGGAUGAGUGUACCUGAAGAAAAAGCAUCGGCUAACUACGUGCCAGCAGCCGCGGUAAUACGUAGGUGGCAAGCGUUGUCCGGAAUUACUGGGUGUAAAGGGAGCGCAGGCGGGAAGCCAAGUCAG
rnacentral:rRNA from 1 species